rnacentral:rRNA from 1 species
ACUCCUACGGGAGGCAGCAGUGGGGAAUAUUGCACAAUGGGGGAAACCCUGAUGCAGCCAUGCCGCGUGUGUGAAGAAGGCCUUCGGUUGUAAAGCACUUUCAGUAGGGAGGAAGGUAGUGUAGUUAACACCUGCACUAUUUGACGUUACCUACAGAAGAAGCACCGGCUAACUCCGUGCCAGCAGCCGCGGUAAUACGGAGGGUGCGAGCGUUAAUCGGAAUUACUGGGCGUAAAGCGCAUGCAGGCGGCCUGUUAAGUCAGAUGUGAAAGCCCGGGGCUUAACCUCGGAAUUGCAUUUGAAACUGGCAGGCUAGAGUCUUGUAGAGGGGGGUAGAAUUUCAGGUGUAGCGGUGAAAUGCGUAGAGAUCUGAAGGAAUACCAGUGGCGAAGGCGGCCCCCCUGGACAAAGACUGACGCUCAGAUGCGAAAGCGUGGGGGAGCAAACAGGAUUAGAUACCCUGGUAGGAUAGCG